GGUUACCAGGCUCCUCGAACUUGGAGAGGAGCUAGAGGUGCACCUUGUUUAUGCCAUCACUCAAGAGCAACUGAGGUUUCUGAUGUCCUGUCCUUUCAGCGUGUCUCAGAUGGCAGAUAUUCUACAUGUGUCCCGAUCAACACUCAAAUGUUGUCUAAGACACUUCAAUCUGUCACAUGCACCGUUAUAUUCUGACAUGUCAGACUUGGCUCUGGAUGAAAAGAUUAAGGACUUGGUGGCUGGGAACGAUAAUCUUGGACCGGAGGCUGUUCGAGCGCAAUUAAGGGCAUUGGGAAUCCGGGUGCAGAGACGCAGAGUGAGGGACAGCAUGAUUCGUGUUAACCCGAGGGCGGCUGCCCUCAGAGCCAUGUCGCAGAGGCUACAUAGAAGGUCAUACCGUGUUGCUGGACCAAACUUGUUAUGGCACCUUGAUGGAAACCACAAACUGAUAAGGUAGAUGUAUCUUUGUGAUAGACACAAUUAUCUAUAUCACUGGUGAGAAGUUGUAUAUUGUAACAUCUCAAAUUGUUCAUCAACUUGUUCAUCAACAACUAACAGUUCAGUAAGCAAUGGCCCAAUGUCAAUCAUGUGGAUAAUAAUUGUUUUAUUGUGUUUCUGCUACUUCUGUGAACGAUAGAAUAUCUGCAUCAUGAAAUUAACAAACAUGCUUAUAUUGAGGACAUACUUACAUUUACAUUUAAGUCAUUUAGCAGACGCUCUUAUCCAGAGCGACUUAUCCAGAGCGACUUACAAAUUGGAAAGUUCAUACAUAUUCAUCCUGGUCCCCCCGUGGGAAAUGAACCCACAACCCUGCCGUUGCAAGCGCCAUGCUCUACCAACUGAGCCACACGGGACCACGUUUUUGCCACAUACUGAGGCAAAAACGGUUGGAACAAAGUAUUUGUGCCUAAGUGUGAACAACAGGAGAGUCUGUCCUCUUGACUCAUUAACUUGAUUCAUUAACAUUGUUCCACAUUUUGGAUGUUAAUUUAAUAUCUGGUCUGCUGUGCUUUCUGAUUUAGGUGGAGGAUAGUCAUAAAUGGUGGCAUUGAUGGGUGCAGCCGCCUCGUUGUGUUUCUUCGUGCUUCCAGCAACAAUCGCAGCAGUACUGUAAUGGAUUGCUUUGUGAAUUCUGUCUCCAGAUAUGGCGUUCCCUCCAAAGUUAGGACGGACCAUGGAGGAGAAAACAACAUUGUCUGCUUGUUGAAUGUAAUACAUAUUGCAAAUAUUAUUUAAAAAAUAGCGCUACAUGCAUCCUUAAUAUCUUCUUGACCUACACAUUGAUUACAUUCUAUAGUGAGUGAUGCAUGCGGCUACUUUUUUUUUCUGUAAAUCAUUUUCAGAACGCAUUCACAUUAUGUUUGAAAGCUUUAUUGCUUUCUCCAUGUUUUUGAAAUGUAUAAGCCUUUAAAUGACCUUUUACUGACUACUUCUACAAACGAGGCUACACUUGUGGGAGCACCUAUUCCUGUGGCACCACUUCUUGUGGCCCCCCUCCACCUAUACCACUUCCUGUGGCCUCCCCUCCACCUAUACCACUUCCUGUGGCCUCCCCUCCACCAUUCCCUGAGGCUUAUCAUCCAUCUUCACCACACUCUUCUGUUGAUGUUGGUAAUGAUGUUGAACUCCAAACACUGCUGAAGUUAAUGAGAUGCCAACCAAAUUAUCGUGAUGAGGGACAACAUUUAUGAUUGUGCAAUGAGAGGCUUUAAGAGAGCCCGCUUUAAUCCGGAGGCAAAAAUAGACAUGGCUUUUAGGGAUGCUGACGAAAAAGGGGCAGCUGAUGAGGGUGGUCCCUCAAGAGAAUUUCUCCGGCUGCUAAUGAGUGCCAUCCAUUCCUCUGCAAUAUUUGAGGGACCUGAUUGACAAAAAGGCCUUUCUUGCAACUCUCAAGCAACAUGGGGGUGUAGAGCCACAUUUUUUCAGACACUAUACAGGCAAGUGUGUGGCCUACAACCUCCUGUGCCAGAACUGAAAGAAAUUGCGGAAUAUGACUUUAGAGAGAAGUUAAGUACUUUAUACUGUGAUUGGAUGUUAUGUUACUGUUAAUUUGCACAAAAUUUGAACAUUUUUGGGGUUGUAGUUCAUGACAACUUUUCCAUGUGGAUUUGGUUCAUUUUUGUUGGCAGUCAAUCUUUAAGGGUAGUGAUAAUCAGUUUAUUGUUUUGCUAAUUUGUCCCAAAACACAGUUCAAUAAACAAUCUAAGAUCCAGUUAACACAAACUGUUGACGAGGCAGAGGAAGUGGUCACGUUGGGUCCAGUGCGAUACAUUCGUACAUUGGAGAGGGAUGCCCUGGUGGAGUCAGCCACAAAGUUCUACUUAGAAAGCAGGAUGCGGGAUCCUCUUGAGUAGUGUUUCCAUAUAUCUAAGGAAUCUCAAGUUUAGUUAAAUUCUUCAGGGCAAAUUCAUAGACUUAUUUUUACUUUAUAGAUUCAAAGAGGGUCUGGAGUGUCUAGGUCUCCUGCCUUACAUGAAUAGACACUCAAGCCUCUUCAGAGAGGUUUUCAUCUACGCUGAGAAACCUAUUUUGGACAAAGACAUAGCUUCUCUCUUCAAAGCAGAGCACUCCCCACCUGGUACCAAUCAAAGAGCAAUAGAGAGAAGAGUAAUAUAUUUCUGGAGGGACUGACUUCUGGAGGUGGAAGGGGGGAACACAUACCCUUUAACCAUGGAGGUUUUCAUUUUCACUUCGGGGGCUUCAGCAUUCCUAGGCUGGGAUUGCCAGUGGAGCCACAGCUACAGUUCUCUGCAACCGCACGGCAAGCGGUACCAGAGCGCCAAGUAUAGGUCCAAGAGGCUUCUAAACAGAUUCUACCCCCAAGCCAUAAGACUACUGAACAUCUAAUCAAAUGACUACCCAGACUAUUGCUGCUUAUCUAUGCAUAGUCACUUUAAUAUCUCUACCUACAUGUGUAUAUUAACUUGACUAACCAGUGCCCCCGCACAUUCUCUGUACCGGUAUCCCCUGUAUAUAGGCUCGCUAUUGUUAUUUUACUGAUGGUCUUUAAUUAUUUACUUUUCUUGUAACUGCAUUGUUGGUUAAGGGCUUGUAAGUAAGCAUUUCACUGUAAGGUCUACACCUGUUGUAUUUGGCGCAUGUGACAAAUACAAUUUGAUUUAAAGAAUUCAUAUAAGGGGAAUUAUCCAAAACGUUUAUUGCAUGACCACCUAGUGAGUUCGGAAUACUGCAGCCAAUGUUAAUUGAUAUUAUGAAAGUUUCCGACAGGAUUGUCCAUCAGCAAAAAAAAGUUGUCAUGUUUUAAAACUUUCACUAAACAACUAACCAGAAUCAUUUGGACAGGUAUACAUAAUGCAGCUUUAAUAUUUAAAUAAGUUUAUGAUUUCUUAGUGGGUAAACUGAGCAUUAUGUAAAGUAGUUUAGCCAUGUAUGUCAAGGGACUGUUACAAUAUGUGCAAUGUUACAUAAAUAAAUCUUACAGUAAAUAUG